GAUAACAUGAAACGACGUUGUAUUGUGAAGUCAGCACUGUAAUGAUUUUUUAUUAAUCUAUGCUCUAAACUCGUCACGGCAUUUUUUUUCUUCAAUUAUCAUGAUACUGAUUCACUUCGUCUCUUCUGAUCGUCCCAGUGAAUGAUAAAAAAACUGAAAAAGACCAUAUUAUUUGAUGUAUGAAAGGAAUCAGAACAUUAUAAUUAUUUUGCUGUUGGACUAGUAUUCUGCUUGAAUGUUUGCUUUCAGUUUGGUUCUACGAUAUGCAAGCUGGCUUGUGUGGAAGCAAAAUGAAAAAGAACGUUAUUGUUUUGGUGACUAUCUUUGUAAGCCUCAUCGGACUGCGGGUUAUUAGAACCUUGAUCUUGCUGGGAAAAGAAACCUUGGUCAUCUUGGACAGUAACACCAGGUGGAUCGUAGGAUAUAUUCUUGGUUAUAACUACGGAUUAACAAUCUUAUCGGGUGUAUUCUCCGCUGUUUUAAUACUAGUCAUGGUGAUGCGCGUCUACCAGUCUCCAUACGUGCAGACAUAUUUCAUUGGAAGAGGAACCGUUGGUGGUCGUAAAACACCUUCCAACUCGGACUUGUCAGAUUACAACAGGUAGUUUCCAGCUACACCGGGUUUCAUUACAGGCGGUUGAUGAAUGUUCGUCAAAGUCGCCAAUCCGCUGACGAGGGUGGGAUGACGUCAUACAAUUUAAUCCAUUGACAAAUUUCUCCAAAGCUCACUUUUGAAAACAUUUAAGACUUUAAAAUUUUGCGAUGGACAGUAUAUUGGCGUCAGUCAAAUGUCUCUUUGUCCGACUAUCAAUAAUUUGAUCGCAUUUGAAAUCAGCCAUGCAUGCUGCCGUUUAUAUAUAUAUUGGUCCAAAUUCACAAAGGUAGACUAAAGUUAUACCCGGGGUAUAAAACGCGUCAUUUGACGUCAUUUUGAUCCAUGGACUAAAAUUAGCCCCUAGGGGCUAACCUUUGCGAUUCACAAAGGUGGACUAAAGUUAUACCGGGGUAUAACUUAAGUCUACCUUUGUGAAUUCGGGCCAUUAAUUUUAGUCUGUCACAUUUUAGUCGGGCUGUUCAAGUUCAAUUCGUGCGUCACGCUCUGCCAUCAAUUGAGAGUUUUGGCACUGCGACGCAGAACGAAUCCAAGAACACAGUAGAUUUAUUGAAAAUUCAAGUCAAAUCACAAUUAACAGCUGGGAGAUCUUUGUAAAAAAAAUGGUAAACAGAAUAGCAGUUUCGUCCUUCGUUUCGGAGCUGACGAAAAAUUUAAAAUAUGUCGGUUGUCCAGAGUCCAUGACGAAACUGUCGUAAUGAUCCAUCGAUAUUCGACAAAGACUUCUUGGUUGCUUUUUGUCAUGGAGGGCAUUAGCCAAUAACUUUGUUCUUGAAAGCGUUUUGCGUCGGGGUGCGAUUUAACUCCCUAUUGGCACGAAGUGAUGCUGAUAGCUGGCAUCAGACGUCGCGUUCGAUCUUCUACCAAAUCAGUCUCUGCAUAUGAUGACGUGACGUUUUAAAUUUCCUUGUUGGUCACAUCAGGUACAAUAUUUAUAUUCGGAUACUUUUUUAUUCUUUAAUCGUCAAUUUGUUUUUCUUGAAUCAUAUUUAUAACAUUAGUAGGCCUAUACCUAUACAUCGUGGAUGUAUAUACCUCUGUGGUACAAUGUUCGGGCCAAAGUUUUCCAACCAUGGUAUUAAAACGACGAAUACUGACAUUGGUGCGACGUCAAUAUUGCCGAGUUGGGCACUAACGUCAAAAAUUAUUUGUUAUAUAAAAAUUAAAAAAUCGAUAAAAAAAAGUUGAGAAUACUCUCUAUAUAUAGUCUUUUUCAACAAUAAAAAAGAUCGUGAAGCAGAUAUUCAUUUUGCCCCCAAUAUUGAUGGGGUUUGAAUUUAUUGGAAUUAAUGAUCAGGAGCUGCGGAACGGAUUUGAAAAUGGAGGGGGGGGGGGGGGGGACUGAACAUGCAUAAACACACAAUUUGAUGGUUAUUUUAACAUUUUUGUGCAUCGUUACGGAAAUAAAUUUUUUAGUGGAAUCUGAACCCCUGCAACCCCUGGUUCCGCAGCCCCCGAUGACAAUAUAUUAGUUUUGAUUACUCAGACUAGUCCUAUCUGCUUUUCAUUAAUUCAUAUUAUAAUUUAAAAAUCCUUCAUUUGUUUCUUCUGGGUUUUCUCGAUAUUUGUAUCUCCUUUGAGAGGAAGUGAGUGCUGUGCAGUUGUACGUGAAAGAAAUGAAUCUCCUUGAAAUGAUUUGAUUAAUAUUAAAAAAUGUUCACUUGUGCAGUUACGUGAAAGAAAUGAAUCUCCUUGAAAUGAUUUCAUAAAUAUAUAAAAAAAAAAAGAUGUUCACCUUUUCGCCUCCUAUACAGCUUGAAUAAAAUGAAUUCUGACAUUGAUAUCAGUUCCUAA